AAAACGUAGAUACAAGUCUUCCGCUUUAACUCUGGGACUGUUGCCAUCUCUAUUAGUGAACAAGCUCUGGAAUGUACCUGAGAAAUGAUAUGCAUGCAGGGAUUAGUUUUUUUCUUUCUCUUUUUUUCUUUUUUUUUUCUUUUUUUUUUGCGUAUCUUUUUGAAAAUAAAUAUGCUAUGAUGCACGUGAUGCAGACACAACUGGCUGGCGGUGCAUCUCUGAUCACAAAGUCGAAGCUUCGGUCUAAACUCAGAACCCAAAUCCAACUUGAAAAUCCAAGGUCAACUGAAUAUACUGUUGUCUGAACCCAAAGUCACCAACAGAACCAUAAGUCACCAACAGUACCUGUAAUGAUGAACCCUUCCCCACUCACGGGUGUAGUCUAGGCCAGGGUAAGGUCAAGAGAAACGCAGGAUAAACAACCCUUUCAAGAAUAUCAUCCUGUGCACACCCGAUGUAUGCACCGAUAAUACCCCAU
rnacentral:lncRNA from 1 species